AGGCUCUUUGUCUUCAUGGUCACUGAAAUAUUUUUGAUAUUUUAGACCCUCAAAUGAAUUAUACAAAAGGUAUAACAUACUUUCAAAAAAUCUACAAGAGUCAAAUGUACUAUACAAAAUAGCCCUCACCGUGUGGUUUGCUGUGCAGUUCCGUAGUUUUUGUUUUAAUUCUGGGCAGGACGUGUUCAGCAACUCUCUGAUGUUUCCUCUCUUGGAUGGAUGACAACAUAGCAACGGUCAAUAACGUUUCCAUCUGAGAGGCAGCUGGGAAAUUAUUCACACGGAAUUCCCCCUUUGUUUGAUGAAAGCCUCUAAACCAACUGGCGGUAAAUCAGCAGCCAGCCAGUCAGUCAGUGUGCGGAGGAGACGGCAGAGGGACGGAUGCAAGCGUGCUCGGCUCCUGUCUUGGAAUCUGCAGUUAUUGAAGACAUCCAUCAGACUAUGACAGCGUCGCAGGGAAGCUUUGCAUCGUGGGACUUGGUACGUGACCAGGUUAAACAUGACAGCAAUCAAAUAUAUGAUUUACAGCAAGAUCCCUUUUCUUUCUCCUACAGUAUGCUGAUUCACUUCUAAACUAUGUGUGAGGUGCACUGAUAACAUCAGUGACGUUAUCAUCGAUACUGUUUAUGUUACUUUGAUUAACUGUGCUCAUUUGUGGGCUGAUGCAGACUUGUCUUGAGAAAAAAAUCGGCCGGGUUUUUCGGAUUUAAGUGGAUUAAUAUCUUGAAGAAUUCUGAGAUAAUAAUCCUGUUAAUUCGGAAAAAUGUGAAUGUGAGUCACUGGUUUGGCUUCACUUCAUUACAAUAUGAAACUUGUACCUGUUACCUUAUGUUGAUCGAAUCAGCCUUUAUGUGGGGUUAUUGCAUAUUUAUUUUAAGAUGACCUCAACCCAUAUCUAAUUCAUUCUGUUAAUCUAAACGAUCUGAACCUGAAGACAUCGUGUGACUGUAACAAUCUCAUUGCAUCUAGUGUUACUAUUGUCUUUAAUAAAGAAAAGUUAAUUAUCGCCAA